rnacentral:tRNA from 1 species
AGGUAGGUAGCUCAGUUGGCAGAGUGGGCCCGAUAGAGGUUCGAUUCCUCUCCUGUUUG